CCAAAGUCAUGGUUAAGUGGGAAACGAUGUGGGAAGGCCCAGACAGCCAGGAUGUUGGCUUAGAAGCAGCCAUCAUUUAAAGAAAGCGUAAUAGCUCACUGGUCGAGUCGGCCUGCGCGGAAGAUGUAACGGGGCUAAACCAUGCACCGAAGCUGCGGCAGCGACACUGUGUGUUGUUGGGUAGGGGAGCGUUCUGUAAGCCUGUGAAGGUGUGUCGUGAGGCAUGCUGGAGGUAUCAGAAGUGCGAAUGCUGACAUAAGUAACGAUAAAGCGGGUGAAAAGCCCGCUCGCCGGAAGACCAAGGGUUCCUGUCCAACGUUAAUCGGGGCAGGGUGAGUCGACCCCUAAGGCGAGGCCGAAAGGCGUAGUCGAUGGGAAACGGGUUAAUAUUCCCGUACUUGGUGUUACUGCGAAGGGGGGACGGAGAAGGCUAUGUUGGCCGGGCGACGGUUGUCCCGGUUUAAGCGUGUAGGUGUGUGUUCCAGGUAAAUCCGGUUCACUUUAACACUGAGGCGUGACGACGAGGCACUACGGUGCUGAAGCAACAAAUGCCCUGCUUCCAGGAAAAGCCUCUAAGCAUCAGGUAACAUCAAAUCGUACCCCAAACCGACACAGGUGGUCAGGUAGAGAAUACCAAGGCGCUUGAGAGAACUCGGGUGAAGGAACUAGGCAAAAUGGUGCCGUAACUUCGGGAGAAGGCACGCUGACACGUAGGUGAAGUGAUUUACUCAUGGAGCUGAAGUCAGUCGAAGAUACCAGCUGGCUGCAACUGUUUAUUAAAAACACAGCACUGUGCAAACACGAAAGUGGACGUAUACGGUGUGACGCCUGCCCGGUGCCGGAAGGUUAAUUGAUGGGGUCAGCGCAAGCGAAGCUCCUGAUCGAAGCCCCGGUAAACGGCGGCCGUAACUAUAACGGUCCUAAGGUAGCGAAAUUCCUUGUCGGGUAAGUUCCGACCUGCACGAAUGGCGUAAUGAUGGCCAGGCUGUCUCCACCCGAGACUCAGUGAAAUUGAACUCGCUGUGAAGAUGCAGUGUACCCGCGGCAAGACGGAAAGACCCCGUGAACCUUUACUAUAGCUUGACACUGAACAUUGAGCCUUGAUGUGUAGGAUAGGUGGGAGGCUUUGAAGUGUGGACGCCAGUCUGCAUGGAGCCGACCUUGAAAUACCACCCUUUAAUGUUUGAUGUUCUAACGUGGACCCGUUACCCGGGUUGCGGACAGUGUCUGGUGGGUAGUUUGACUGGGGCGGUCUCCUCCUAAAGAGUAACGGAGGAGCACGAAGGUUGGCUAAUCCUGGUCGGACAUCAGGAGGU
rnacentral:rRNA from 1 species